rnacentral:precursor_RNA from 11 species
GUCUGUAAUGACAGAAUGAGGUGAGAGUGUCCGCACAACCAGCAAGAAGAUGGGAAGAUCUAGCCACUCCUUCUUGUUGGUCAUGUUGGCAUACAGUUUAAAUCUCAGAUGCAAUCAGCA